GGCAAAGGCCGAGCCCGAAACACAGCAUCCGCGGGAAAAGGCCGAGCCCGAGACACAGCACCUGCAGGCCCAGAUGAAGCACCCACAGACCAAGGCCGAGCCCGAGACGCAGCACCUGCGGGCAAAGGCCGAGCCCGAAACGCAGCACCCACGGGCCAAGGCCGAGCCCAAGAUGCAGCACCCGCAGUUGGAGCACCCGCAGGCCCAGACGCAGCACCCACAGGAAAAGGCCGAGCCCGAAACGCAGCACCCACAGGCCCAGACGCAGCACCCACUGACCAAGGCCGAGAUGCAGCACCCACAGGCAAAGGCCGAGACGCAGCACCCACGCGCAAAGGCCGAACCCGAAACACAGCACCUGCGGGCCAAGGCCGAGCCCGAGAUGCAGCAACCACAGCACCCGCAGAUGGAGGCCCAGGCGCAGCAUCCGGAGACAGAGGCCCAGACGCAGCACCCGUGGGCAAAGGCCGAGCCCGAGACACAGCAGCCGCAGCACCCGCAGACGGAGGCCCAGACGCAGCACCCGCAGGCAAAGGCCGAGCCCGAGACGCAGCAGCCACAGCAGCCGCAGCAGCCGCAGCCCCCGCGGGCCAAGGCCGAGCCCAAGAUGCAGCAGCAUCUUCACGUCAGCACAAUAAAUGAUGGCCCAUAGAACUCCCAUCAGACCCAUCUCUGCCUCCUCUGGAUCCAGUCACAGUUGAAAGAAAAAGACAACCAGAUCAAAAUCUUUCUAUUUAAGCAUCAUAUCAGUCUUGCAACCACUCUUUGACUACAAGGAAAAACAGGUUUUACCCAUUAGCAAGGAAAAACACCUACAUUGAGUCCUUCCAUAUGAUACCCAUAUUGAGUCCUUCCAUAGGACACCCAUAUUUAGUCCUUCCAUAGGACACCCAUAUUUAGUCCUUUAAUAUGACACCCACAUUGAGUCCUUCAAUAUGACACCCACAUUGAGUCCUUCCCCAUAGGACACCCACAUUGAGUCGUUCCAUCUGGCCAACUGGGCCAGGGCAGGACAUGGAAGCAGGAACAACACUACUGUGGGUUAUUGAUUUAAAAAAAAUAUAUGAGAUUGGGUGGUUAGCCCUCUUGUAAAGCCUUCCAUAUGAUGCCCAUAUUGAGUCCUUCCCCAUAUGACACCCACAUUGAGUCCUUCCCCAUAUGACACCCACAUUGAGUCCUUCCAUCUGGCCAAUUGGGCCAGGGCAGGACAUGGAAGCAGGAACAACACUACUGUGGGUCAUUAAUUUAAAAAAAUAUAUAUGAGAUUGGGUGGUUAGCCCUCUUGUAAAGCCUUCCAUAUGAUGCCCAUAUUGAGUCCUUCCCCAUAUGACACCCAUAUUGAGUCCUUCCAUAGGACACCCACAUUUAGUCCUUCAAUAUGACACCCACAUUGAGUCCUUCCAUCUGGCCAAUUUGGCCAGGGCAGGACAUGGAAGCAGGAACAACACUACUGGGGUUUAAUUUAAAAAAAUAUGAGAUUGGGUGGUUAGCCCUCUUGUAAAGCCUUCCAUAUGAUGCCCAUAUUGAGUCCUUCCCCAUAUGACACCCACAUUGAGUCCUUCCAUAGGACACCCACAUUUAGUCCUUCAAUAUGACACCCACAUUGAGUCCUUCCAUCUGGCCAAUUGGGCCAGGGCAGGACAUGGAAGCAGGAACAACACUACUGUGGGUCAUUAAUUUAAAAAAAUAUAUAUGAGAUUGGGUGGUUAGCCCUCUUGUAAAGCCUUCCAUAUGAUGCCCAUAUUGAGUCCUUCCCCAUAUGACAUCCACAUUGAGUCCUUCCCCAUAUGACACCCAUAUUGAGUCCUUCCAUAGGACACCCACAUUUAGUCCUUCAAUAUGACACCCACAUUGAGUCCUUCCAUCUGGCCAAUUUGGCCAGGGCAGGACAUGGAAGCAGGAACAACACUACUGUGGGUCAUUAAUUUAAAAAAAUAUAUAUGAGAUUGGGUGGUUAGCCCUCUUGUAAAGCCUUCCAUAUGAUGCCCAUAUUGAGUCCUUCCCCAUAUGACACCCACAUUGAGUCCUUCCCCAUAGGACACCCACAUUGAGUCCUUCCAUAGGACACCCACAUUUAGUCCUUAAUAUGACACCCACAUUGAGUCCUUCCCCAUAUGACACCCAUAUUGAGUCUUUCCAUAGGACACCCACAUUUAGUCCUUCAAUAUGACACCCACAUUGAGUCCUUCCAUCUGGCCAAUUGGGCCAGGGCAGGACAUGGAAGCAGGAACAACACUACUGUGGGUCAUUAAUUUAAAAAAAUAUAUAUGAGAUUGGGUGGUUAGCCCUCUUGUAAAAUGGCCCAAAACCAUUUAUUCCUUGUAAAGAAUUGGCCUAUAAAGAGAGAAUCUUGGUUGUUAAAAGCCAGAGUUGAUAUCCAACAGCAGAGAUGAGAGUCCCAAUAUCAAGGUUUUUGUUAAAAUCCCAGUUCAGUUUUGCAAAGGUACAUAUGAGAUCUCUAAGAAACAUAAUAUUACUAGCUUUCAAACAAACUGCACACUAAAGCAGAUAAACCAAUGAAAUCUCAAUUCAGAAAAGUGAUUUCAUGAUCAAAUUGUAAGAGAAAGCAUAAAAUGUUUUGAAAUGAUCUAAGUUUACUUGUUUCCCAUAAAUUGUACCUGUAUUCUAAAACAAAGUUAAAUAAAAGUUUAUCAAGCAUAAG
ensembl:lncRNA